rnacentral:rRNA from 1 species
GACGAACGCUGGCGGCGUGCUUAACACAUGCAAGUCGAACGGAAAGGCCCUGCUUUUGUGGGGUGCUCGAGUGGCGAACGGGUGAGUAACACGUGAGUAACCUGCCCUUGACUUUGGGAUAACUUCAGGAAACUGGGGCUAAUACCGGAUAGGAGCUCCUGCUGCAUGGUGGGGGUUGGAAAGUUUCGGCGGUUGGGGAUGGACUCGCGGCUUAUCAGCUUGUUGGUGGGGUAGUGGCUUACCAAGGCUUUGACGGGUGGCCGGCCUGAGAGGGUGACCGGCCAAAUUGGGACUGAGAUACGGCCCAGACUCGUACGGGAGGCAGCAGUGGGGAAUAUUGCACAAUGGGCGGAAGCCUGAUGCAGCAACGCCGCGUGCGGGAUGACGGCCUUCGGGUUGUAAACCGCUUUCGCCUGUGACGAAGCGUGAGUGACGGUAAUGGGUAAAGAAGCACCGGCUAACUACGUG